AAAAUUCCAGAUGUCCCUGGCGUACAUUGCGUUAUUGAUAGACAACAUUUAGUUGCUAGAAACUUAAGUGAGAAACUAUUUCAAUCACUGCAAUAUGUCAUCAAAGCAGUCAAUAAAAUCCGCAACAGCUCUUUGAAUGAUAGAUUAGUUCUUGGAAACUAAAGAUACCAGACUGGGUGUUGGAUCCGUUUUCAAAUGUCAACACAGCAAUGUCACCUCAGCUGGAAGAAGAACUUAUAGAAUUGACAACAAACGAGGAAAUAAAAAUCAAGUUCAAAAAUGGUUCCAAGAAUUUUGGCUACAAAAACCGAUUUCGCAAUUGUACCCUGGAUUGUAGUCAAUCCUUCAACGAUUCUUGAUAGCAUUCCCAUCGUCAUAUUUGUGUGAACGUGGAUUUAGUGCUGUGACAACACUGCUUACUAAAAAUAGAAAUCGUUUGCUUGCCGAACGUGGCGACUUGCGACUGUUCUUGAGUAAAUAGAAACCUGGUAUUAGCAAACUUAUCAAAGAGUAUCAGAUUCAUUUUUCACAUUAGUUUUUAUAUAUGGAUCGAUUAUUUUAGUUUAAUUUUUAAUAAAAGAUUCUCUGUUUUAAUACUAUAAAGUUGUUUUUCAAUAAUCAUUCUUAUUGGCAGGUGGAGCCCGUAAGAGUUAACUUGAGACCGAAGCGCCGUUGUAUGUUACCUACUGCGCUCAGGUUUCAAGUUGCUGGUUAUAGUAAAAGUUUCGCUUAGAAUUCUCCGUUAAUAUACAUAUAUAGGUCACAAUAAUUAAUUUGAAGUUAUAGUGGUUUUUAAAUAGGUGAAAAAAUGGGGGGCGCUAAAAAAAUAUUUAUUCUCAAAGUGGGCGGUAGACAAAAUAAGUUUGGGAACCACUGAACUAGACUGUUCAAAGUUGACAGGUAAACCCCAUGUAACAGUGAAGCUUUAGAAGAAAUGAUUCGAUUAAGAAGUAAUAAUUCGUAAAGUCGUCAAUAGAACUUGGUCGCAAAUAAUAUAACAAUUAGUCAAUGAAAGGUUCCGAGUUGAUAUUAAAUGCUGCCUAAUUAUCGAUUUACUUAACCAAUACUACAUGUCAUAGUUCAUAUUUUAACAAAUUUGGGGUUUCUCACAUCAAACUAAAAAAUUAAAAAUAAAUAUAGUUUAAAAAAACUAAAAAACACGCUUUUAAAGGAUAUCAAACUAAAAAGUGAAAAAUAAUUCUUUGUAUAAACUAACAAUAAUAAUGAAGGAAAAAUUCCUGCAUUAUUGUGAGAAAAGCGUGGGGUGCUUUGUGACAUAUUUUUCAUGAAAUGAUUUUUUUUUAGGCCGUAAGGAGGGUUUAAAAUCCUUCGCACCGUAUAGGGAUCGUCAUCCUAUGUGAGUGGUGUACCCACUAAAACACUCCCCCCUUCUAUCAUGGAUUUUUUCCUUACCCCGGGACCGCUUCCGCAUUACUUCAGGGCAAGGUUUCCAAUAUGGACCCAUUACAGGUCAGUUUCUACUCUCCCUGCGUCCAGGGAUGCCUACGGUUUUCUAGCCAGCAUCAAGCUAUUGGCUCAUCUUCUAUUGGGAGUCCGCAUCCAUGUCUCUUUUUUUAGUGCGUAAAACAUGUUCCACGUACACGGCAAUUAUUUCCCAGUUUUCCUUGCUUGCUAUCAUUUUUCUUGAAAUAUUUUCCGUACUUAGUUCUCCGAGCUUGUUUUCUACAGUUCUUCGGGCUUCUUUCCAUCGGUGGCACUUGAAAAAGGUAUGGUUUGCAUCAUCUAGCGGUUCGUCUCCAUAAAUACAUCCUGGACUUUCUGUUUUUCCCAUGUUGUACAGGUAUUUUCGGAAAUACCCGUGACCAGACAGCAUCUGUGUUAUGUAGUAAUUUACCUCGCCGUGUUUUCUACUGUGCCACGUCUCUAUUCCCUUAAUCAGUUUGGCGGUCCAUCUUCCUUUGCUCUCUCUUGUCCGCCGAUCUUGCCAGAGUUCAAAAGUUUGCUUCCUCGCCUGUUGUCUUGUGGCCAUGUGUAUUUCUAUUCCGCCUUUCUUCCAUAGCCAGAGUUGUCUUCUCUCCUUUGCGAGAAGGUUUAUUGGGAUGGCGCCGCUUAUCACUAGCACUGCGGGUUCAGAUACAGUGCGGUACGCCGAGGCGACUCUUAGGACUGCUGUCCUCUGCACUUUAGCUAGCACUUUCCUUCUAUGUUCUACCUUUAAUGUGUCGGCCCAUAUUUCGCUCCCGUAUAAUAGUACUGACUGUGUUGUGUCGAUAAACAAUUUUCUUCUGCUUGCAAGUGGGCCUCCGGUGUUUGCCAUGAGUCUUCAUAGCGCCAUUGUUAUAUUGACUGACUUUUUUGCAGCGUGUUGGAUUUGAGCCCAGUACGUAAAUUUGUUGCCCAUUCUUAUUCCUAGGUAUUUUAGGGUUUUCGUCGUUUGGAUAGUUUCUGAAUGGACUUGCAUGUUUACCUCCAGCGGGAUGUGUUUCCUAGUGAGCAGGAUCAGUAGUUUCCUGUCUUUAAGAUAGCUUCGUAUCAGUUUCAUCAAAUAAAGGGGCGUUUUGAAGCGGCUUUCUUGUGCGUCAAUCAUAUUUGCCCAUUUUGCGCUAUUGAAUGCAUUCCUUAUGUCAAUUGUUGCGAGGAGGACUAUUGGUCUCGAGAAGUUAUUUUUUCGAUGAGCUUCCUCCACGCUGCGCACCACAUCUUCCACAGCUCCGAUGGUGGACCUACCUGGUCUGAAUCCGUGUUGUCGCUCUGAUAGGCCUCCAGCGUCGUUUAUGGCGGUUAUGAUGCGGGGUUUCAGCAGUCUUUCUAGCAACUUUCCUGCUGUAUCUAGCAUGCAUAGGGGUCGGUCUGCUGAUGGUGUUCCUGGGUCUCCUUUGCAUUUGCUUAUUAGGGUCAGAUGCUGCCUCUUCCAUAUUUCUGGGAAAAUGCCCUCGUUCAGACAUGAAUUAUUCAUGGAUAGCAGUAAGUGCGGGCGUUCCGUAGCGAUUAGCUUUAGCACUUCCACCGGUAUCCCAUCAGGCCCAGAGGCUUUUCUGGUCUUUAGAGUGUUUGCUGCAGUGUUCAUGAGCUCUCUUGUGUAUGUUCUGGUGGGUCUCUUCCCAGAUCAUGGGUUGGGAACAGGGUGUUUACGAUGUUCUCCAUAGCUGCGGCGCUUAACUCAGGGGUGGCCUGUUUUUCUCCGAGUUUUUUCAUCACAAUCUUGUAUCCGAGACCCCACGGAUUUUUGUUUAUAUCGUUACGUAGCUCCUCCCAUUUAUCUUUCUUUGCCUUUGCUAUUGCGUCUUUCAGCUCAGUUUUUGCAGCUUUAUAUUCCAUAUGCUCCUCCAUUCCGUUUCUUCCUCUUCUUCUGGCUCUUGUAUAUCGUCGUCUUUUGCACAGGCAAGUUUGUCUAAGGUUUCGGAUUUCGUCCGUCCACCAGUAAACUGCUUUCUUUGGAUGUCCUCCUUUUAUUUUGGGCAUUGCUACUUUACAUGCCUCGGCUACUUUACAUGCCUCGGCCUCGAUCAGCCUAGCUGUGCUACUUGCGUGGUAUUUUGGUGGGUUUUUAUCUAUGGCUGCGAGGAGCUUUUCUGAGUCUAGCUUGGAAGCGUUCCAUUUGCGUGUUCCUCUUCUUAUCUUCGUUGCUGGAUUUUUAUCUGGGCCUAUGAGGUACAUAAGAUAUGUCUUAGUGGUCGCUACCAGUAUAGUCUUCCAAAACUUUCCACUCACGCAGCUGGCUUGCGAGUCCUUCGGACACCAGCGUGAUAUCGGGGGUUGUGUCGUUGCAUCGUGGUCUUCUGAAUGUGGUUUGGGAUCCUCUAUUGGCGACGAUAAGACCUAAUCUAGCUGCCAUGUCGAGAAUUUUCCGGCCCCUCGAGUUUGUAGUCGGUGUGCCCCAUUCCAUAGCCUUGGCGUUGAAGUCUCCGGCUAUGAUUAAGUGACGGUUUCUUUGUCGUGCAGCAUCCUCUAUAACAUCGAGCUUUGCUUGGAAGUCUGCGAUAGGGUCGCUCGGUGUCAGGUAGCAACUAAUUAUCGUAAUGCUUUCGUUUUUUAUCCAGACAAACCCAUUUCCUCUCCCGCUGAUUGUUUUUUUGAAACUGCUUCUUUCCGUUAGCCAUAUUGCCGCUGUUGCUGUGGUGUUUUCUAGCCAUGUUCCAUCUUGCGCCAUUUUGUAUUGCUCGCUGAUGAUUGCUACCUCGGUUCCGAGUUCCAGCAUGAGCUGCGGCAGGAGGUGGUCAGCCGUUUUGCUUCUGUGCAUGUUACACUGCAAGAUCUUCAUGUUCUUGUUUUUUCCUUAUCCAUCCUAUUUUUAAGUGUCCUUCUUUUAGUACCCUGUUUGCGCUAUCGGCUGUCAACGUCACAUAUGCGCGUAUAUGUUCGCGAGUAUUUGGAGCGCUGGUCCUCACUGUGAUUUCUUCAUCUGCUUGCUUUAGCAGACGUCUUACAGAGGUCGUGAUUUCUGCUGCGGUGGAUAAGGAGUCGAGAUCUCGGAUCUCAAUUGUGGCUUUCUGCUUUCACUCGCUUACAGAAGCUAUACCACGUAGGUUGCUUGUGAAAGCAUUUCGGAGCUCUGGUUUCGCUUUUCUCAAGCACCUCGGCAUAGCUGCAGCCUUCUGCCAGUUCCUUUUUUCUUCUGGAGCUUGUCGUCUGUAUGUCCUUGAGUUUGCUCUGCGCUUUGGUGUCGUUUUGCCUGCUGUAUCUUUUUUCCUCUUACUACGUGCCACACAAUAUUUCCGGGUCCUCGCCCCCUUUUCUCUGACUCCUGUUCCGUUGGGCUUGGUGCCGUUCAUUUACCGGUUCUUAAUCCACUUCGACUACUGAAAAUCGAUUUUUAAAAAUCGAUUAUUUAACGAGAAAAUUCGAUUCUCGAGUAGAAUCGGAAUCGAGUUUACCAUCUUUGGCCGCCGUCGCGUGAACACUAAAACCUCCGCACAAUAACCACCACAAAACAAAAUGAUUUUUUUUCCAUGUAAUUUAUAUGGAAAACAGAAAAUUUGAAAUAGGCACCUCUUAAUAUUAAUAUUAAGAGCUCAUCUUUUGAGUGACUUUUUUUUACACAUUUUCGAAAGUUGUGAACCUGUUUUUCAGUUGAAAAAAAAGGUUGCCUCAGAAUGACACACCCUGAUAUACGAGUACAUACAUAUUUACACAAGUUUGUUGAUAAAGCUGUUAGAGCGGCAAGGGAAGCGGUGACAAUCGGCGAUCGUUCGUUUAUUUUUUCGGCACAGCAUCGGUGCGUCGACACAUUUUUUUCUUUGACAAUACGUGAGCUUCGCCAUUGGUUGUCGCUUUUAUUAAUUAUUUGGGUAAUAAUACAAAAUUUACUCUAUUAUAUAUUUUUAAUGAUUUUAUGGAAUUAUCAUGAAAUAUAUUUGUAGGUAAAUUUUAAUAUACAUAGUACAUACAUACAUACUUAUAUACUAAGUACAUAUAUGCUUUGAUACCAAAUAUAUACCGAUCAUAUAUACAUAAAUUAUAUGCCGAGUCGGUUGCGCAUAGAAAAUAAACGAAUCUGUAGGCGUACAUUUCUUUACAUUGAAAUUAGCAUUAUAUUUAUCAUUUAACACCGAAAAUGCUCAAUUCUGCUAUUUUCGAGUCCCCUUCUGCAAAACUCUGGUGAAACGCGCGUAAAAUUUGUCUGUGCUGAAACUCCCUCAUCUCUGCCGAGUACCCCUGCGAAAAGUUAUGAUAUCAAAAACGGUCUAUGAUAAAUCUUCUCUGGCUUAUAUUGUAAUCUGGCAUGAUGACAUACGUGAGCGAGUAUAUAAACGUAUCCGUUCGUUCGAACCGCCAUUCGAACGCAAACUACCGAUCGUAACAGACGAAUUAUUUUAAAUUGACAAAUUAUAAUAAACUAAAUCCAUGCUUGGCAAGAAAUAACUUUCCAAACUCUGGGCAAGGAAGAAUUGCGUCCAAUAAAUUAUGGGAGGAACUGGCGAAGCAGCUUAAUGCCGUGGGCCACCAGUUAAAGUUGCUAAGUUGUGGAGGAAGCUUUCCUUCAAUAGCAUCGAAGCAGUGAAAACUGAUCAUUGCGACGGUUGAAAUGUUAAUCGAAGCAGCUGGACUCGAAGCUUGUUUAGAGGGCAUAACAAAUGUUUCUGCAUUUGGAAAUAACCCAACUAUGCAAGCUUCGACGUUUAUCGUUAACUGUGAAAGCAGUGAUGAGGAUGCAACCCUUUCCUCAGCUCCUUACCAGGCCCAACAACUUCAACACAGUCGCUACUCCCUACAACAACAACAACGUCAACAGAAAAAACCCCACGCACAUCGAGGAAAAAAAGGAGUGACGAAACGGAGUUACUUCAAAAAAAACAUGAAGUCACUAUCAGCUUUUCAAAAAGGCAUAGACCAGAAGCUUGAGAGGUUAGUAGCAGCACAGGAAAAAAUGCUGGCACUACAACAAACAUUUAUUGCUAUUAAGAUGGAAAAGCACCGCAUCCAACAAUCGACACGGGAAUUAGACCACGCAAUAAAAAAACUCGAAACCUUACGAAUAAAUUUAUUAUAAAACUUGGUACAUGAAUGUAAAUAUUUUUAGUUUUAAGCAUUUAAUGAAUUAUUAAUUUUAAAGAGCUUUAUUUAUUUUUGAAUUUUAUUUAUUUAGUGUUUAAGAAAUGUGAUAAAAGCAACAAACGUGAUAAAACUACUAAAUAAAAUAUUUACAAGGGUAAAUACAUAGA